AUGGCGAGGGCUCCGGUGCUUCCCGCGCUCUUGUGCCUCGCGGUCCUCGCGCUGGCCGGCGGCGCCGAUGCGAGGAAGAUGGUCGGCGUGUACGAGCUCAAGAGAGGGGAUUUCUCCGUCAAGAUGACCAACUGGGGUGCCACCAUCAUGUCGAUCCUCGUCCCUGAUUCCAAAGGGAAUUUGGCCGAUGUUGUGCUGGGCAAAGACACCCUCGCUGAGUAUGUUAAUGAUAACUCUGCCUUUGGGCCGCUAAAUGGGAGGGUGGCGCAGAGAAUGGCCAGGGGCCGCUUUGUCCUCGACGGCAAAGUAUACCACACGUACAUCAACGACGGCAGGAACUCCAUUCAUGGUGGCCACAGGGGAUUCAGCAAAGUCAUAUGGACGGUGAAGGAGUACGUCGCCGGCGGCGACUCCCCGUAUAUCACGCUGUACUACCGGAGCUUCGACGGGGAGCAAGGAUUGCCCGGAGACCUGGACGUGUACGCGACGUACCAGCUGACGAGCCCGUACGAGCUGAGCAUCCGCACGAACGCGACGGCGCUGAACAAGGCGACGCCGGUGAACUUCCUGCAGCACGUGUACCUGAACCUGGGCGGGGAGGGCAGCGGCGACAUCCUGGGCCACACGCUGCAGCUCUCCGCGUCCCGCUACACCCCGAUGGACGAGGAGCUGCUCCCGUCGUCCGGCCGCGUCGACCCCGUGGCCGGCACCAGCUACGACUUCCGCACGCCGACGCCCAUCGGCGCGCGCAUCCGGCAGGUCAAGGGCGGCAAAUUCUACGGCUACGACAUCAACUACGUCAUCGACGGGGAGGGGAUGCGGAAGGUGGCGUUGGCGCGGGACGGCAAGUCGGGGCGCGCGCUGGAGCUGUGGGCCAACCAGCCGGCCAUGCAGCUCUACACCGGCAACUUCCUGAACCACACCAAGGGGAAGGGCGGCAAGCUGUACGAGCAGUACGACGGGUUUUGCCUUGAGACGCAGGCGUACCCGGACGCCGUCAACCACCCCGAGUUCCCGUCGGUGACGGUGAGGCCCGGCCAGGUGUACAAGCACGACAUGCUCUACAAGUUCUCCUUCUAG
rnacentral:rRNA from 1 species